rnacentral:rRNA from 1 species
UACGAAGGGGGCUAGCGUUGCUCGGAAUCACUGGGCGUAAAGCGCACGUAGGCGGACCUGCAAGUCGGGGGUGAAAGCCCGAGGCUCAACCUCGGAACUGCCUUCGAUACUGCGGGUCUCGAGUCCGGGAGAGGUGAGUGGAAUUCCUAGUGUAGAGGUGAAAUUCGUAGAUAUUAGGAAGAACACCAGUGGCGAAGGCGGCUCACUGGCCCGGUACUGACGCUGAGGCGCGAAAGCGUGGGGAGCAA